rnacentral:sRNA from 1 species
GAGGAACUCAAAACCUGCCGGGGAAAC